AGGGCAGAGUUGGUGGGGAUCGCCAAAAGGGCUUGGAAUCCAAGGCUGAGAAUGGAUUUCAAGCGGGCCCCCGAUUCUCUGUGAUGUCACUUUGCUUCCCUGCCUUGAAGAGUGGUGGAACAGCAGACCUGUACAGAGAGCAUCUCAUGGCAACGGUGUUUGUGGGAAUCAGGGAGGAGACACUGCCGCUGCUUGGGUCCCAGUAAGGUGAAACUCCAACACCUGUCAUAAGAGAAGUGCAAAGGAGAUGAAAAAUUCUACACAGACAAGACAUAAGAAUGCAGGAUACAGAAACGCAUCUCGUGUACAGUCCCUGGAAACAGUGGUGAUGACGUCAUCCCCCCCCUCACUUUUGAACACGUCGAUUUCAAUAGAAACACCGAAGGCAGGUGACUGUAAGGGUGAAAGAUUUGGGUACAUUCACACGAUGGCACCAAGUCAUCUUUUCAAGGAAGGCUUUCACGGAGUUGGUUAAAAUUAGUUCACUCAUUAUUGAACACAAAGCUUCAAGAUUGAUAGAUGUGUAGACUAAAUGACACGAUGUGUUAGUCAUGGGCUUUAAGCAACCAGUGACUUUCAUGUCCCCAACAUUGUACCUGUGCCACGAGGGACUCCGAGAUUGUGUGUCAGGUAGAGUUGCAGUUCUGCAGCAGGUGACACGGGCCACUUGAGUGUGUAAUGUGGCACAGCUGGAAUCCAGAGAGGGGAGAUAACCGGGGAGAUUCAGAUACUCAAAAAUCUGGCUUUAGGAGGGAAAAAGGGCCAGGCUGCAGGAGGAAGCCAGGAGAUACAGGCCAGCAGAACGAGGCCCAGUGCACGCGUCACACGCGGGCAGGAACUCUAGCAUCACACGCGGGCAGGAACUCUAGUGCGCAAAGGGUGUCAUAUUCCCAGGAGACAACAAGCUGUUCUGAGCUCCCCAGGGUGGCUGUUGGGUCUUGAGGUGCUUUUGUUUGUGGAGCAGGGGCGAGUAAGGCCACUUUGGAAUACUGGAUGAGGGUCUAGGAAAAGCAACAGGGAGCCACUGUGUACUGCAGAGUGAAGGAGACCGAGUAAACUGAAGUUUUGAAAGACAAUCUGACAGCAGGCUGCGGGAUGGCCACGUAAUUGAGAGACUGGGGGCGGUGAAGGGACCGAAGAGUGGCUCUGAUCCAGGCGGGAGCGGCAUGUGACGGGACCAAGAUGAUAGCUCAGAGGAGCGGGAGAGAUUUUUCACACUCGAGGCCCAGUAGACAUAGCAUCGCACCUUUAAAAUCUUCCAGGGACAAAAAUAAAACAUGUGACAGAGAUGUGGCUGUCGCUGCCGUCUUACAGAAUCAACAUAUUUUAAACUUCCUUCAGUUUGGACAAAUCUUUAGAAACUUAAGAUGACUCCUUCCUCAAGCUCUCCUGCAUUGCAGACCCGUGGUGGGAAAGGUUAACACGCAGUAUUUAAUCUGUGCGGUUUCUGUGAAUGGUAACGAUGGGAGUGACAUGCCCAGGCUGACGGCGAGCUCUCUGCUGCACUGGGGUUGUGGGUUACAGGGUUGCUGACCAUUCUGUGGUUUUGUUGUGAUAUUUAAAACUUGAUGAAUGGGCAUGGAAUGCCUAGCUGGCAUCGUGUGAGUGAUUAUGGCAUAAUUUAUGUUCUGAAUGUGAAACCUCAAUAAGCCAAUAAAUCCAGUGUCAAGACAAUCCCAGAUGUCAGGCGCUGAUUCUCACCCCUCCUCCCAUUGGGAGACUGGUUCAUCUCUUUAGCUCUCUGCUGCAAAUAUGUGUAGGUUACAACCGCCUCAGGACUUUCUUCCUCAUUAAUCCUGGGAUUCGCCUCAGCAUUUGAAAAUGCUAAGAUGCCAGGAUGCUUUAAAAAAAAUGGUGUUGCUGGCUGUUUUGUUUAUCACUCAGAUCUUUAUUCCUCGAGAUAAGUACAGCAUUACUACGAAAUUCAAGGAAGACACUCCCAUGUUGAUUUCAGUGAGUUUCUGAAGUCAUUUUUUAAAAAGUAUAAGAUCUUGGCUCAUUAUUCUACAUUUAUUAUUACUAAAGGAUUAUUUCUCAUUUUAUGGUCUUAUAAUUCAAGCUAUCAUUUUAGUACUUAAUUAAAAAGGAGUUAGGAAAUACACAGAUAUUCAUUAUAGGAAAAAAGGGGCUUUAAUUCUCUUUAUAUGAAAUUGUUUUUUUAAAUGUUGACAAAAUUAGAUGAAGGCAGAGAGCUGGAAACUACUUGAAAAUAACCCCCAGAGCAACGGAGAAGUGGGAAAAAGUUCUCGGAGAUGCUGCUCUGGGCCCUGUGUGUUUUACAUAAAGCGAAGCGAAGCCUCAGGGUGCUGGAUAUUUUGUCUUUCUCAGUCGUGAAGCUUGCAACUUGAUGUUUGUGUCUGAUGAAUGACAUGAAGAAGCCAGGGUUUCCACAGGUACUCGGUUAGAGUGGAGAUGAUUCAACAAAUGUAAUUGCUCUCAAAUAGCUCAGCGAAGCAAUUAUCUCUAAUUACUGGUAGAGUUUCGCUCUCCUUUCUAAUGAAGAGGACCAAGGGAAGGGAGCAUAUCUCCAGGCACCAAUUUCAUUUCAGAGUUAAUGGGAAGAGUUGGUUCUGCCUGGAAGAUUUUGAUGAAUUUUCAUGACUUCCAAGCCCAUUCUAUGGAGGAAUUGCCGAUGUCUUCGUAGAGCUUUCCUGAGACCUUCCUCUGGGGCAUGUUCUAGUCCCGACUACUAUCUGCAAAGCUAAGUAGCUCAGAAAACUCCUGUAAUCAGUGACAAGCGCCAUGCAACAUGUUCUGGAAGACAGUAAGAUUUAGCUUCUGAAGACUUCAAGUUAGUCGAGAAUUCAGCACAUCACCACUCAGAGGCAUUGCUGAGUGGGUAUGUUUCUCCCAACACUCAAAACAGAGGCCCAUUGAUGCUUAAUGAGUUUCCUGAAAGAAAGACCUCCAGGUCUUCUAUGGUUGGUAUUGAGAUUAAAGGCGUGUGUCUCCAUGCUGGUGGUGUCCUUGAACACACAGAGAUCUGCCUGUCAUGUGAUCGGGAUUAAGGGCAUGUGUUACCACUGCCAGACUUCUGCUAUGGCUUGCUAUUAGCUCUGACCCCCAGGAAGAAGAGGAUGUACUUCAUGACUAUAAUAAUCUGACACAUAAAAACUGGUUGAAAACAAUGUACCACCUGCCACUUCUGGACAUUGUGAAGGAGUAUUGGAAGUUUUGAGGCACCAUCCCUCUCUGCUCAAGGCCCCAAGGGAUUUGUGGUUAGAUUCUUUAACUGCAUAAUUUUAAUCUUCACCAACCUCCUACCUAAUGGCACAAGAAAAACCAUCUUACAGUUUACUCACAAGAUGAGAUACAAACCUCUAGUUCUUACUAUCUCCUUAGUGGGGCUAUUUUUUUGUGCUUUGACAAAGUUGAAUAAAAGUAUACAUACUGAGCAAGAGAGUUGGGAAAGCAAAACCAAGGGGCUGGAGAGGUUAGAGCAGUGGCUGCUCUUGCAGAGGACCUGGGUUUGGUUCCCAGCACCCAUGUGGCAGCUCACAACUCUAGUUCCUGGGGAUCCGAUGCCAUUUUAUGGCUUUCUCUAGCAUUGUGUGCACAUGGUGCACAGUCAUGUGUGUAAGCAAACACUCAUACACGCAGAAUAAAAGUGAUGACUCAGCCCAAACAGGCCUGAGGGCCAGCUGGCCCAAACCAGUAAUAAGAUACUUCCUGAGAGCCAAGCUAGGUCUGCCUAAGGGCCUUAGCAACAGCAGCUGAGCCAUGAUUGGAGAUGACAUAGACCAAUGAGAGGCAGCCAUGUCACAGCAGCAGAUGCAUAUUCAUUAGACCUUCACCCACAGCAGGGUGGAGGGUAUAUAAGGCCUGCCUCUUCCUGAAUAAACUGAGCUUGUUGUUUCGACAUCC